rnacentral:rRNA from 1 species
AACGAACGCUGGCGGCAUGCCUAACACAUGCAAGUCGAACGCCCUGGGCAACCAGGGAGUGGCGGACGGGUGAGUAACGCGUGGGGACCUGCCUCGAAGUUCGGAAUAACCGCGGGAAACUGCGGCUAAUACCGGAUGUGGCCUGAGGGCCAAAGGGGAAACUCGCUUCGAGAGGGGCCCGCGUCCGAUUAGCUAGUUGGUGAGGUAACGGCUCACCAAGGCGACGAUCGGUAGCUGGUCUGAGAGGAUGAUCAGCCACACUGGGACUGAGACACGGCCCAGACUCCUACGGGAGGCAGCAGUGGGGAAUAUUGGACAAUGGGGGCAACCCUGAUCCAGCAAUGCCGCGUGAGUGAUGAAGGCCUUCGGGUUGUAAAGCUCUUUUGGCGGGGACGAUGAUGACGGUACCCGCAGAAUAAGCCCCGGCUAACUUCGUGCCAGCAGCCGCGGUAACAC